AAUAGUCGAAUUGAUUUUCUUCUUCUUCUCCUUCUCCUUUUUCUGUUUUUUGUCUUUCUUUUCCUUCUUAUCCGUUUUCUUU
rnacentral:ribozyme from 16 species